AACGAACGCUGGCGGCAUGCCUAACACAUGCAAGUCGAACGAGACCUUCGGGUCUAGUGGCGCACGGGUGCGUAACGCGUGGGAACCUGCCCUUAGGUUCGGAAUAACUCCCCGAAAGGGGUGCUAAUACCGGAUAAUGUCUUCGGACCAAAGAUUUAUCGCCUUUGGAUGGGCCCGCGUUGGAUUAGCUAGUUGGUAGGGUAAAAGCCUACCAAGGCGACGAUCCAUAGCUGGUCUGAGAGGAUGAUCAGCCAGACUGGGACUGAGACCCGGCCCAGACUCCUACGGGAGGCAGCAGUGGAGAAUAUUGGACAAUGGGCGAAAGCCUGAUCCAGCAAUGCCGCGUGAGUGAUGAAGGCCUUAGGGUUGUAAAGCUCUUUUACCCGGGAUGAUAAUGACAGUACCGGGAGAAUAAGCUCCGGCUAACUCCGUG
rnacentral:rRNA from 1 species